rnacentral:tRNA from 1 species
GGCGCGAUGGCGGAGUUGUGACGCAGCGGAUUGCAAAUCCGUGUACACCGGUUCGAUUCCGGUUCGCGCCUCCA